GAUGAAGAACGCAGCGAAAUGCGAUAAGUAAUGUGAAUUGCAGAAUUCAGUGAAUCAUCGAAUCUUUGAACGCACAUUGCGCCCCCUGGUAUUCCGGGGGGCAUGCCUGUCCGAGCGUCAUUACGACCCUCAAGCUCAGCUUGGUGUUGGGCCCCGCCGCCCCGGCGGGCCCUAAAGUCAGUGGCGGUGCCGUCCGGCUCCGAGCGUAGUAAUUCUUCUCGCUCUGGAGGUCCGGUCGUGUGCUCGCCAGCAACCCCCAAUUUUUUUCAGGUUGACCUCGGAUCAGGUAGGGAUACCCGCUGAACUUAAGCAUAUCAAUAAGCGGAGGA
rnacentral:misc_RNA from 1 species